rnacentral:lncRNA from 10 species
CUUGAUUUCUAUCGUUGGCAAUUUGUGGGCCCUGGAUAAGUGUUUGCUAUUUGCAUGUGUCUGGGGAAGCACCCUAGGAUACUAAGUGUCUUUCAGAUUUCCAAGUCUCUUCUGGUGUGCUGAGGUAUAUUUCAAUGUCUUCUCUCCGCUGAGGAUGACAGGGAGGACUCACGUAGCCACAUUGGCAAUGUUCUUUCAGAAGCACUAUUUGGGAACCUUGGAGCCUCUGGAAGAUGAACACCAUACCAUCCACAAUGUCAGGAUGAAAGUAGCUUCACUUCCCUGGGGUUCACGCCGUGGACAGUGCAACCUUCAGAUGCAAGGCUGAGCAUGAUUCAUUUAAAUCCCACCUGGAACUAUUCAAACAGGUGUGUGUCUAUGCUGAUUAGUUCUCAUUUCCACACUUAGAGAGCCCUCUAGAAUUGGAAUGGGUAUAAUAGUGGUAUUCAGCCCAUUCAAAUGUCGAUUAAUUAGCAAGUAUUCUGUGCACUUAUACUACUAUAUUCUCGUGUGUUAAGUAAGCUUGUAUACACAUAAUAACCUCCAGCAAAAUUGACCUGUGAAGGAGAGGUUGGUUAGAAACUGAAUUCCACAGUAGCCACAUGUGUCCAAAGUAUCCCUUUUUCUGUAAAAUCCCUCAUUUGGGCACAGCAUGAAUAUAUACUUUUACUAUUCAGCCAAAAGUGGGAGAUUUGCUUGAAGCCUUUGAUUAAUGCAAAUAAUUGCUACACUAAAGCAGCUCUGAUGCUUGGGAGGCCAUUAGCGGUGCACAGCUGCCAUCAACUAGGAACAACCUGCGCAUACAAAGAUGAUUCAUGGCCCAAUUCGGUAGCUUGAGCAUACUGAGUGUCCUAGAAUUUAGUCCAUAUAACUCUUAGAGUUGAAUAGUGUGUAUGUGGGGGAAGGGGAAUGCAGGCGUCUGGGAGAAAGUGCCAGCAGAGGUGGUAGAGCAGAAUGGGUAAAUAAAAGAAGAUAUCCUCUACAGGGUUGGAAAGGUGUGAUACCUUUCUUCACCCACCAUAAGGGUUACGACUGACACUCCUAUAAAAAAAAAAACACAGGUAAUAACAGAAAAGCAUAACCACUUUAUUUAAACACAGUUUUACAUGACACAAAAGGCUUUAGAAAUAAAGACCCAAAUACCCAG